rnacentral:rRNA from 1 species
GUCCACGCCCUAAACGAUGUCAACUAGCCGUUGGAGGAAUUAAAUCCUUUAGUGGCGCAGCUAACGCGAUAAGUUGACCGCCUGGGGAGUACGGCCGCAAGGUUAAAACUCAAAGGAAUUGACGGGGCCCGCACAAGCGGUGGAGCAUGUGGUUUAAUUCGAUGCAACGCGAAGAACCUUACCAGGUCUUGACAUCCUCGGAACUUUCCAGAAAUGGAUUGGUGCCUUCGGGAGCCGAGAGACAGGUGCUGCAUGGCUGUCGU